UACGGGGGGGGCAGGCGUUGUUCGGAAUUACUGGGCGUAAAGGGCUUGUAGGUGGCCAACUAAGUCAGACGUGAAAUCCCUCGGCUUAACCGGGGAACUGCGUCUGAUACUGGAUGGCUGGAGUGUGGGAGAGGGAUGCGGAAUUCCAGGUGUAGCGGUGAAAUGCGUAGAUAUCUGGAGGAACACCGGUGGCGAAGGCGGCAUCCUGGACCAAUACUGACGCUGAGGAGCGAAAGCCAGGGGAGCAAACGGG
rnacentral:rRNA from 1 species